UUAUCUUUUGUUUGAUUCAGACACAAAUAACUGAUUGUAGCAUAAAGGCGACGCCAAAGCGCCGAAGCACAUUUUUUGCUUCCACAGGUUUGAGGGGUAGAAGGUCAAAGACCAUUCAAUAAUGAUCCCUCCGCAGGUUCACCUACGGAGA
rnacentral:misc_RNA from 1 species